rnacentral:rRNA from 1 species
AGUGAACGCUGGCGGUAUGCCUAACACAUGCAAGUCGAACGGCCGCACAGUAAGCUCUCUCCCCUACGGUUGGCGACUGGCGGACGAGUAAGGCAUACAUCACAUUCUUCUUUUUCGUGGGUGAUAUCGUAAGGCCAGUGAUGCUAAUACCGCAUAUGAUCUACGGCUUAAAGCAGGAGAUCUUCGCACUUUUCCCGAUUCUAUUAGCCGAGGUCGCAUUAGCUAGUUGGCGGGGUAAAGGCCCACCAAGGCAACGAUCCGUAGCUGGUCUGAGAGGAUGAUCGGCCACACUGGAACUGAGACACGGUCCAGACUCCUACGGGAGGCAGCAGUGGGGAAUCUUGGACAAUGGGCGCAAGCCUGAUGCAGCAAUACCGCGUGAGUGAAGAAGGUCUUCGGGUUGUAAAGCCCUGUUGUUGGGAAAGAAAAGCAGCAGAUGAAUCUCUCGCUGUCUUGACGGUACCCAAUGAAAAAGCACCGGCUAACUUCGUG